AUGUAUGAAAGGGCGGGACCGCCCCAUAGGGACCCCACCCAUAGGGACGGGCUGCAUUGCGCAUGUCUGCAAGGGCGUGGCAAGGGGAGGAAUGAGCGGGAAGGGGCGGGGCUGAGUGGACUGGCGGGACGAGAAAAGGGGCGGGGCGUGCCCAAUCCGGGCCGAGGAGCGUUACCAUGGCAACCGUGCCGCGGAGGCCUUGAGAGGCCACACGCCCUAUGUUGGUCUGCGAGAAAUCAAACUUCGAACAGGACAAGCCCGAAGCCCGCUUCUCCGGGAGACGGGGUGCCACAACUGCAAGGCAUGGAAUCCCAGGGAGCAUCCUGCACUCUCAGUGUCCAGCUGUCUGAGGCCACACUUGUUUCUGAUGAUAGAGAACAAUUGCUUUUUUCUGAGAGACUUAGCACUCCAUGGCUGAGGUAAGCUGCAUUCUAUAGAGCAUUGAUUCCAUUUUCUCAUUACUCUGUGGUUCCUUCUUUAAUUUUUAAUCUAGAGAUGAAAUUAUAUUUGCCAAUAUUUGUGUAAAAUAGAAAUAUAAGUCUGGCAAGUAGACCAUUAGAUGCAGCCCUCAGCAGAAAUUCUUGCCUGUUUCUCUUCUCACUUUUAUUCAACUAUUGGCACAGAGAGAUGCCCUGAUAUGUGGUCUCUCAGGAGUAAUUAGAACAUUGUACUUCUAGAAAAGCUGAUGGGACAGGGCAGGGCUCAGAGUGAGGGUCAAAGCUUCUGUCCAAAUCUCUCAGUCUCUAUCUGUAUGUGGUAGCUGGACUCAGGAAAGACCCUAGAGCUCUGGAAGAGAUCAUUAAGAGAAAACAAAAUCCCUGUAAAUUAGAGUGCCAGGGAACAUGUUCAUCAGUCACCUUCAGAGUCAGAUGCUCAGGGCUGAGCCUGUGUGGGAGGGCGCAGAGCAGUGCAUGCCUGGGAAAACCUCUGAUUAUGUAUGAGUGAUGAGGCUCUGCCUCAAGGAGAAGUCCUGUAUCUGACAGAACAUGCUGUUUCUGUGCGUGUGAGAUUCAGUGCCCUUCCUCAGCAGAGCACCACUGAGUGAAUAAUUGUUUUAGGAUCCGGCAUAUGGAGGCCAAUUUUAUUUUGAAUUUCUCAUAGACAGAAACAGAAAGGAUAAUUUUCCACUUUGAAAUUGAGUAAGAGUGUCAGAAACAUCAGUAAAAAAGUCACAGGAGAAAAAUCUGGGGUCUUAUUUAUCCCCAGAAACCACAAAAAUCCUGAUACAACCUGUAAGAAUUCACCUUGUAAAAACUUGUUUUUUUUUUCAGUAUAGAUUUAUCUUUCAUUUGACCUUCAUUUUAUUGCAGGUUAUAAUUAGUACAUGAUUUUUUACCUUUAUGAUAGAAACAUCAGAUUCCUAAACCCAAAUCAUUAAUGAUGGCUCCCCAGCUGUAGUUUUUAUUGCCAAUUUACGUUUUGCUAUGAUCUGAACUUGUGUCUCCUUCUAAAAACUCAUUUGUAAAAGUUUAAUCCCUAAUGUGAUAGUUUUAAAACAUGGAGCUUUUUGGGAUGUGACUAACUCAGGAGGGCUUCAUCCUCGUUAAUGUAAUGAAUACCCUGUAAUAAAGGUUGAAGCGAGCACCCUUGUCCCUUCUGCCAUGUGCGGACAUAGCAAGAAGGCAUCAUUUAUGAGAAAUGGGACCCUCACCAGACACUGAAUUUGCUGGUGCUUUGAUCUUGAAUUUUCCAGCUUCCAGAACUGUGACCAAUACAUUUCUGUUAUUUAUACAUGACCCAGUCUAAUGUACUUUGUUUUAGCAGCCUGAACAAAGACACUUUCUCAUGUACUGUGGUUUAUUUUUGAAUUUAUACUUCCACUGAGCUAUCCAUAUAUUCAUUAAUCAACUUGUCUCAUAGAGUGUAAUAGCCACUCUAAUUAUUUUUUUCAAAGUGUUCUCAGCUGUUCUUAUUUGUGUUUUCAUCUAUACGAGUUCCGCAAUAAAAUGCCUGCUUUCUCCACCAGAUGGUAUGUCUAUUGGGACAAAAUUAAAUUUUUGAACUACUUCUAACAAAUUGAUGAUUGAGUAAUAUUGAGUUUUUCUAUCUUAGAACAUGAUGUGGUUUUCCACUUUUUUAUGCUGAUUUUCUCAUAUUUCAAAAACUUUUUAUGAUCUUUCUCAUACUUUUUACAAAUUUUUGUUAGAUUUAUGUAUGGCUAGUUUAUUUUACUUUGUCCUGUUAAAAAGUAAACUGUAGCACAAUACAAAUUUUAAAAGUUUUAUUGGCUGGGAAUGAUGGCUUAUAUCUGUGAUUCCAGCACUUUGAGAGGCCAAGGUGAGAGAUUACUUGAGCCCAGGAGUUUGAGGCCAGCCUGGGAAACAUAGUAAGACCCUAUCUCUAUGAAAAAAUAAGAAGAAAUUAGCUGGGUGUAGAGGUCCAUUCCUGUACUUGUAGCUACUCAUGGGGUAAGGUGGGAGGAUGGCUUGAGCUCAGGAUGUAAGGCUUCAGAGAGCUCCGAUUCUGUCUAUGCAUUCCAGCAUGGGCAACAGAGCAGGAAUCUGUUUCAAAAAACAUUUUCUUGAGUAGGAAGCAACUAAUGAAUUGUGGAACAUGAGACCAAAAAAGGUUUAGCAUUUAAAUGACAAAGUGUCAGAGGUAAGAUUGUAUUGAAAAUAUGCAGAAGGAAAAUAUUUAAGUUAUUUAAUUAGUUGCAGUUAAAAAACUGUCUUUUUUGGUUUAUCUUAUAGACAUAUAUUACUAUACCUUCUUGGGUACUUCUGAUAAACUUAAGUUCUGUUAUUGUUGAUUUUUAAUACAGGUAUUCACAAAAAUAGCUCACAUUAUGUUUUGCUUGUUUGCAAGUCAACAAGAUGAGGUCACCGAAAAGGUCUAACUGAUUCUGUCUGCUCAGGAAUGUUUCAGGCUUGGUCUCCCUUUUAAUUUACCUUGUAAAUCAUUUUGUAAUUUUUAUCUCCUACCCAUUCUGUAACUUGUUAAUUACUUUUAUACACAUGUAAUAUCUUUUAUGUGUGAUUUCUAAGUAUAUUACUAGUGAACAUUGACUGUUACAAGGCAUACCUUGUCUUAUUGCAAUUUAUUGUGCUUCCCAAGUGUUGGAUUUCUUACAAAUUGAGGGGUUUUGGCAACCUUACCUUCAGUGACUCUGUCAACAAUAUUUUUUCCAACAUCAUGUGAUCUGUGUGUGUGUGUGUAUCUUUGUCAGCAUUUUUAUCAAUAAAGUACAUUUUUUAUUAAGGUAUAUACAUUGUUAUUGUAAACCUAGUCUGUUUCAGUCUUAUUCUACAGUACAGUGUAAAUAUCUCUUUUAUAUGCACUGAGAAACAAGAAAAGCUGUGUGACUCACAUUAUUGUGAUAUUUGUCUUAUUGCACUGCUCUAGAGCAAAACUAGAUAUCUCCAAGGUAUAUUUGUAUAUUUUCAUUGAAUUGGCUCCAUUUACUGGAAUGAUAAAUCACUAUUCUUCGACUAAAACAAGAGCUGUGGAGUGUGGAGAGGUCAGGGUGAAAAUAAAGAAGAAGUGAAGAUAAAAAGUCCUCUAACUCACACAUAGAGUAAAUACAAGUUCAGUAUGGAUGAAAUACAAAAUUAUCUAAAAUUGAAUAUUCUCAAAAACAUUAAUGUUUGUAUCAUUAUGUGUAUGAAAAUUAUCAGGCAAAGAACAAAAGUACAUUUAGAUGAUGAAAGAUUUCAUCUCACUGUAAAAUUCAAGAAGAAAAAUAUAAAUAUAGCAAUAUGUGAAAUAAACGACAAUAUAUUACAUUUAAUGUCCUACAAUACAGUA
ensembl:lincRNA